AGCGAACGCUGGCGGCAGGCCUAACACAUGCAAGUCGAACGAAGCCUUCGGGCUUAGUGGCGGACGGGUGAGUAACACGUGGGAACGUACCUUUUGGUUCGGAACCACUCAGGGAAACUUGAGCUAAUACCGGAUGAGCCCUUAGGGGGAAAGAUUUAUCGCCGAAAGAGCGGCCCGCGUUAGAUUAGCUAGUUGGUGAGGUAAAGGCUCACCAAGGCUACUAUCUAUAGCUGGUCUGAGAGGAUGAUCAGCCACACUGGGACUGAGACACGGCCCAGACUCCUACGGGAGGCAGCAGUGGGGAAUCUUGCGCAAUGGGCGAAAGCCUGACGCAGCCAUGCCGCGUGAAUGAUGAAGGUCUUAGGAUUGUAAAAUUCUUUUACCAGGGACGAUAAUGACGGUACCUGGAGAAAAAGCCCCGGCUAACUUCGUGCCAGCAGCCGCCGUAAAAC
rnacentral:rRNA from 1 species